GGUUUUGCUGCUCUGGGUCAAACACAGCUGAUCUUGCUCCACUCAGCUGGCCAAUCAGCUGAAGGCUGGCUGGGCUAGAGUAGCCUGGCUGGCAGCUGGGGCACUGGAGUUGACAGAGUUGACAAGGACCAUCAGUCUCUUGUUAUCCAACAGGCUGACUCAGGCUUGUUCUCAGGUGGCUGAACAGAGUUUCAGGAGUGCAAGCAGACAUGCAUGAGGCUCAGAACCGGCAUGCCAUCACUUCCUUACCAUUCUGUGAGACAAAGCAAGUGGCAAGGCCUUGACAAGUCAAGGAGUGGGAAAGAAGCCUCCACCUCUUGAUGGAAGGAGCUGCAUCAUAUUGCAAGCGGUGUGGGGCACUGGAAGGGGGAGAAUGGGGGAUGAAUUAUGCUAACCUCUACUUCUGUUAUCACAUGACAUCCUCCCCUGUGUAUCUCUCUAUGCCUUCUCUUCUUGUAAGGACAUCAGUCAUUGGAUUUGGGGCCCACUCUAAAUCCAGGAUGAUUUCAUCUGAAGAUUCUUAACUGAUUAUACCUCCAAAGACCCUAUUUCCAAAUAAGGUCUUGUUCUGACAUUCUGGGUGGACACUAGGAGGUUGCAUAGUCUCCUCCCAAAAUUCACCCAGAAUUUUGGGAAGACCACUUUGCAACCUACUACAGAGGCUUAAAUAAAACAAGAAAGUUAUUUUGCUCCCGUAAUAAGAAAUCCAGCAAGAAAGGGCCAUUGGCAUGGUGGCCCAGUGUCCCAGGAUGUCCGAGCUGACCUGUCUGACAUUCCCCUGGCCUUCACCUAAAGGCUGCUCUGGGUCCAUCCCUCAUGUCCACAGGAAGGAGGUGGGGGAAGAAGGACAGUGUCUGCUGUCUGUGACCCUUUGUAUCAGAAAAGCAAACUUUUUCCAAGAAACCUCACGUUAGAUUUGUCCUCAAAUCUUGUUGAUUAGAGCUAGUUAUAAGGCCACCCCAACUGCGAGAGAGUCUGAGAAAUUAAGACACAUGAUGAGACACAGAAUGAUCAUGAAUGACCUAAACCAAUCGUGAGCCAUUGUUUGUGCUUGACUUAUGACCAUGUUGAAAAAAACUGGGUCUGUUAGUAAAGAAGCAGGAAGUGGGUCUCAUGUCCUGCCAGUGUCUGCCACCUGCAAUCUCUUCUGAAUUCAGUCCAUACGAGUCUGUUUCUGAGAGCCUGCAAAGACCCUGUUUCCAAACAAGGUCUUGUUCUGAGAUUCUGGGUGAACGUGAAUUUUGGGAGGACACUUUUUGGCCUGCUACAGAGGCUUGAAUGUUCUGACGAAAUCUAGUUUUUGACCUUGAAUAGAGUAGCCCCACCAAGAGAAUACAACCCACAAGAAAUGCCUCUUCUUUCCAACCACUCUAGAGCAGGAUUGUCAACCAGAGCUGACUGUGUCUCCCAGGGCACAUGUGGCCACGUCUGGAGACGCUUUGGAUUGUCACGACUAGGGGUAGUUGCUGGGCCCCAGCGUCAAGCACAUACAGGUGACAAAUUCCGUCUCUGAGUGAGGGCCCAAAGAAGCUCUCAGCUCAAUAAACGGAGAUGUGUGUGAUGUACACACAUGUGCAGGGUACUAGUGGGAGACAGGGCAAGGGAACCUAGAGGUGUUGCUGGACUGAUCCUAGAAGAUGCAGAGUAUUAGCCUAACAGAGGAAGGACAUUCCAGGAUGAGAAAUGUCUGGAGACACAGCCCUGAGGACAGAAAUUCCCCAGGGCUCUCAGUGGCCAGGGGCCAAGCAUGGCAGCAGAAAUCCAAUGUGAGGCUGUUGGCCAAAGCCAGGCACAGGAAGGGUGUGCCAUGGUCAGCACUUUUGGGGGUACCAUUAAAAGAUGUACCCCAAAGAGGGGUAUGGUCUAACAUGCGUUUUAAGAAAAGUUCACUUUGUCUUAACAGAUGGAAUUAUGAGAGGCCAAGAUUGAAGAUGGAGGUAAAGGUUGGGGGGAUGGCCUUUUGAGAGAAAUAGAAAAUCAGUAAUGGGCACAGUAUUAGGUAUGCAAAGGAUUAUUUAGGAGAAAAUAAAUUAGGGUCAGUUAUUGUAGUUGCUAUAAGAAGCGAUCUCAAAUCAGAGUGGCAUCACAUGUUAAGAGUUUAUUUCUUAUUCACUUCCCAGUCCACUGUGGGCCUGCAUGGGGCCUGGGGUAUGGGGAAGGAGAACUCUGCUCCACACAGUCAUUCAGGAAUCCUGGCUCUUUCAGGCAGAAGUUCUGCCAUUCCCUUGGGCCCUGGAGUUUUCAGCUAGUUCUCUGCAGAGGGCCAGCAAAGGGGUGAGGGGAAGAAAUAGGAUGGAGCAUCCUGCAGGAGGUUUAGGGUCCAGGUCUGGGGGGUGGCCAGCACAUCACUCACAUGCAUAUUUUGGUGGCCAGAACUCAGACAUGUGGCCCCAUCUAACUUGAGGGAGGCUGGACUAUAUAGUCCAGCUGAGAGCCCAGAACAAAAAGGAACUGGGUCUGGCAAACACAGCACACUGACUUUGCCACAACAUGUUUCGGAGGUAAAAUCUUUGGGGGCUCAGUAAUUGAUUCAACGUGGAAGAAGGAGAGAGGAAAGUUCAGAGAGCUUCCAGGUUUCCACCAGGGAGGUCGGAACAGGUUGCCUUAGAUGGUGACCGCAGGAGCCACUGCCUGAGCAAGGAAGAUGGUGCAUUCAUUUUAAAAUCGCUGUGUAGCUUAACAUUCACUGCCCGUAUUAACAUGUGUCCUGCAUUCCAUUUAUUGGAGAAAUGUUUCUUUUUCUUUAUUUUUUAAAUGAAUAUAAUUUACAAUGUAAAAGGUCAAAUAAAAUGAAAGUGAAACAGAAAAAUCCUCACUUUUCAAUAUUCCUUUCUCAUCUAAUGAAGACCCCUUCCCUUCUCUAUUUCUCCCGGCUCCCUGCCUUAGGCCUAAAGCAACAACCAGAAGCCUUCCUGGGUGUUUACAUUACAGCACACCAGACUGCAGGCACCGCCACCCCAGACUCUGCCUGCAGCUAAAGUCACCAAGUUUGCCGUGCCCCAUAACUGAGGUCAUUGGCAGCCCAGCACCAAGCCUCACUGGCAUCAAGGGCAGCGGGUUAGUAAGCAUGGCUCCACACGGGUAAGCAGUUCUAGGAAAUGGGAAGAAACCCAGACCAUCCAUCUCAGGGUAAGUUUGCUGGAUUUUCUCUCUCUUUUAAGAGUCUUUCAACAGGGCAUACAGCCCAUUCUCAAAUUUAGAUUUCUGUUUUUGUUAAGAACAGGGACUGUGGAACGAAUUUGCCUGACUUUGCCAUCAUUCUGCCAUUUCCUAGCUAUGUGGCCUCAGGCAAACUGAUUAAACUUACUGGCCUCAGAAUGGGGAAAAUUUCUGUAACUCAUGCCUGGAAUUACGUGAAGAUGAAAAGCAGGCAUGUCCAUGAGAUGCUUACAAGAGGGACCAGCGCCGUGUACCUAUUCUGUGCAUCCUACCCGUCCACUGUUCCUUCUCCGUGUUUCUUGAAGAAGCUGGAGUUUUCUUUCAGUCUUCUGCUUCUCCUGUUGCUUCCUCUAACUGAAGGAAGAAUCAGUCCAUGGCUUCUGCUCCAUGCUUUCUGCUCUUGGUUCAGGCUCCAACUUUCCCAUUAAUGGAAGAGAAUGGCUCUCCUGCUCCCAGCUGUAAUGAACUAAUUAAUUUUUCUAUCUCUCUAAUCAUUCUCUAUUCCCUGCCAAACCCUCUGGGUGUCUGUUUUGUUCUAUUGUUCAAGCCUGGACUUUGAGGGUAGGCUGGGGGCAUUGCUAGUCCCCACAAUUGCUAAUCCAGGCACUUGAGUCAUUAUCUUCUAUACAUCACACUUAACAACCAGAGGGAAGUGCAACCUCGUGGGCCUCGGAAAGGAAACCACCCACAGACUUGUGCGCCUUCUUCGCAGGCCAGGCUCUCCUUCCCCCAUGGUAAGAAGGUGAAGACUUGGAGAUUGGUGAGUCAGGCAAUCAAGGUCAAAUUGACAUACUCUAGAAGAUUACAUGCCGUGUGGAACAGUACUGGGCAGUGGACCCACUGGGACAGGGGCUCAGGAGGCUAUGGCAGUCCCGCAGGAGAUUCUGGAGUAACAGACAUCCCCAGGACCUCAGCGUUUCAUAGGAACGACAUGGCACACAUUGGUGGUGGCUGUCCUCCCAGGCAGUACCCCACAUCUUGUCUUCCGUGUUUGGGCACCCAGGCUGGAGUAGCAACCCAUCUCAGUCAAUGGCAAAGGAAGGUAUUCUGUAGAUGUCAGUAAAGGAGAUUACCCCGGAUAAUGUGGUGGGCCUCAUCCAAUCAGUUGAAGGUCACAGGAGCAAAAACUGAAGUUUCCCAGAGAAGAAAUUCUGCCUCAGGAUGGCAGCACCAUCUCCCGCCUGGGUUUCUAGCCUGCUGGCCUGUAGAUUCCAGACUUGCCAGCCCCCACAGCUCAGUGAGAGGGGAUCUAAUACCUGGGGAUAAAUCUCCUCUGUGAGAGUGAAUCGAGGCAGAAUCAAGAGAAGCAAGUGAGACCCGCUGUGAGUGGGUACCUCACAUCCCACACAUCUACCUCCACCUAUGAGGAGCCACAGGACCUGCCUGCCUGCCUGGCCGCUCUCCGCAAGCGCACAGAGCCUUUCUGUGCUUAGGCCACACGUGCCCAGCAUAUGGUGCAAAUAACCAUUUAUCGAGUGCACUGAACUGAGGCCUCAAGGCAAGCUUACCGCUGUGCAGGGUUAAUGACAAACCCAAGGUGGGCAGCCUGGAGCUAGCCACAGUCCAAGCCAAAAGCUCCAGUGACAUCUGCUCUGUGUCCAAAAGGUAGAAGGAAAGGAAAGAACACAGUGUACCAACUUAUCUCAAAUAAAAUAAUUACUUAUUACCAACAUCAAGUAUGAAAUGUGAAGCUAUUCUGUGCCAGUUACAGAAAAGCUAUAUUACUAUGUACAUUACAGAAUAAAUUACUAAGUUUUGACUAGAGUAUAAAAUUUAUUUGUCUUAAUUUCUAGUAAGUUUUAUUUGUUGAAAUAUAGACUCAUAACAUUCAAGACAGUGCUGGGUGUCGACUUCUGAACACAGCACACACUGGAUAGUGUAUGACACGCUGUGCAACACAACAGGGCAAAAAAUUGGAAACCUGCUUUUCUGCAGUAACUUUUCAUUUGCCCUAGACAAGGAACAUUGCACGGCUUAUUUUGACAAUGAUGCUCUUGUAUUCAUUGAAUAAGUCAUCUAAUCUGUAAGAAUCUACGUUUUAUUCCCAU
rnacentral:lncRNA from 1 species